CUGAUUCUGAGCCCUUCAGACUUGGGCUGAACCACACUACCAGCAUCCCAGAGCCACCUGUUUGCUGAUGGCCUGCUGAGAGACUUCCCACCCUCCAUAAUCAUACAGAGUCUCAAUCUGUUGCCAAGGCUCGAGUGUCGUGGCUACAUCUCAGCUUACUGCUGCAACCUCUGCCUCCUGGGUUCAAGUGAUUCUCCUGCCUCAGCCUCCUGAGUAACUGGAAUUACAGGAUUUUAUUAUGUUUGCCAGGCUGAUCUUGAACUCCUGGCCUUAAGUGAACAACCUGCCUUGGCUUCCCAAAGUGCUGGGAUUAUAGGCGUGAACCACUGCACCCAGCCAGCAACUUCUUGUAUAACAACGAUUUCAGAGUAAUAUAAGUAAGUAUAGCCUGAGCUAUUAGGGUGGGGAUUAAGAACUUUGAAUACUAGGCUGAGGAAAUUAAUUUAAAAAAUACGGAUAGGUGAUGAGGAGCCACUGAAAAUGUUCAGGAAAUAGGACUGAACUCAUGCAAUUCCCUUACUCUCUUGGUAAGCUCUCACUGAAAUAACUGGAAAGCUUUGAUUUUUGGUUUUAUUUGUUAUUUGUUUGUUUUUGGUGAUGAAACCUUAACAUCACUUUUCAAC
rnacentral:lncRNA from 13 species